rnacentral:rRNA from 1 species
UACAUGUGGGGCAAGCGUUGUUCGGAAUUACUGGGCAUAAAGGGUGCGUAGGCGGCUUGUUAAGUCACUGGUGAAAGUUUUCGGCCCAACCGGAAAAUGGCCUGUGAUACGGGCGAGCUUGAGUGCGUGAGGGGUGGGGGGAACGAGCAGUGUAGCGGUGAAAUGCGCAGAUAUCAGGAGGAACACCGGUGGCGAAGGCGGUUCUCUGGGCAUGUCCUGACGCUGAGGAGCGAAAGUGUGGGGAGCGAACAGG